rnacentral:rRNA from 1 species
GACGUAGGGUGCAAGCGUUGUCCGGAAUUAUUGGGCGUAAAGAGCUCGUAGGUGGCGGGUCACGUCGGGUGUGAAAGCCCGGGGCUUAACCCCGGGUCUGCAUUCGAUACGGGCUUGCUAGGGUCCGGCAGGGGAGACUGGAAUUCCUGGUGUAGCGGUGAAAUGCGCAGAUAUCAGGAGGAACACCGGUGGCGAAGGCGGGUCUCUGGGCCGGUACCGACGCUGAGGAGCGAAAGCGUGGGGAGCGAACAGG